rnacentral:rRNA from 1 species
UGGCGGCAGGCUUAACACAUGCAAGUCGAGCGGUAGCAGAUCUAGCUUGCUAGAUGCUGACGAGCGGCGGACGGGUGAGUAACGCGUAGGAACCUGCCCAGUAGUGGGGGAUAGCCCGGGGAAACUCGGAUUAAUACCGCAUACGCUCUACGGAGGAAAGAGGGGGCUUCGGCUCUCGCUAUUGGAUGGGCCUGCGUGAGAUUAGCUAGUUGGUGAGGUAAUGGCUCACCAAGGCGACGAUCUCUAGCUGGUCUGAGAGGAUGAUCAGCCACACUGGGACUGAGACACGGCCCAGACUCCUACGGGAGGCAGCAGUGGGGAAUAUUGCACAAUGGGCGCAAGCCUGAUGCAGCCAUGCCGCGUGUGUGAAGAAGGCUUUCGGGUUGUAAAGACACUUUCUAGUGGGAGGAAGGCCUCGUAGUUAAUAGCUGCGAGGAGUUGACGUUACCCACAGAAGAAGCACCGGCUAACUCCGUG